rnacentral:rRNA from 14 species
UUUGUAUAAUGGGUCAGCGACUUACUUUAUGUAGCAAGCUUAACCGAGUAGGGGAGGCGUAGGGAAACCGAGUCUUAAUAGGGCGUUUAGUUGCAUGGAGUAGACCCGAAACCAGGCGAUCUAUCCAUGGCCAGGGUGAAGGUUCGGUAACACGGACUGGAGGCCCGAACCCACUUAUGUUGAAAAAUGAGGGGAUGAGCUGUGGAUAGGAGUGAAAGGCUAAUCAAGCCUGGAGAUAGCUGGUUCUCCGCGAAAUCUAUUUAGGUAGAGCGUCUCGUAUUACCUUCGGGGGUAGAGCACUGGAUGGG